UUGGGGAGCUCACAUGUACACAAAAUAUGGAGCAAUAGAGGGAAGGUUAGUGUGGUGCCUAUGCAAGAAUGACAUUCAAAUUUGUGAACCCUUCCAUAUUUUA
rnacentral:snRNA from 14 species